rnacentral:misc_RNA from 1 species
CGCACAUUGCGCCCCUUGGUAUUCCAUGGGGCAUGCCUGUUCGAGCGUCAUUUGUACCUUCAAGCUCUGCUUGGUGUUGGGUGUUUUGUCCUCUCCAUUGCGUUUGGACUCGCCUUAAAGCAAUUGGCAGCCAGUGUAUUGGUUUUAAGCGCAGCACAUCUUGCGUCUUUUUCCUAUAACACUCGCGUCCAUUAAGCCUUUUUAUCACUUUUGACCUCGGAUCAGGUAGGGAUACCCGCUGAACUUAA